rnacentral:rRNA from 1 species
AUUGAACGCUGGCGGCAGGCCUAACACAUGCAAGUCGAACGAGUGGCGGACGGGUGAGUAAUGUCUGGGAAACUGCCCGAUGGAGGGGGAUAACUACUGGAAACGGUAGCUAAUACCGCAUACCAUCGGCUGUGCCCAGAUGGGAUUAGCUAGUAGGUGGGGUAACGGCUCACCUCGGCGACGAUCCCUAGCUGGGCUGAGAGGAUCACCAUCCCCCCGGGAACUGAGAAACGGUCCAGACUACACCCCAAACCAUCAUUACAAAAUAUUAAACAAUGAACGCAAGCCGGAUAGAGCCAUGCCGCGUGUAUGAAGAAAACCUUGGAGUUUUAACGUACUUUCAGCGAGGAGGCGUUACUCGCAGAAGAAGCACCGGCUAACUCCGUGCCAGCAGCCGCGGUAAUUC